rnacentral:rRNA from 1 species
UACGGGGGGUGCAAACGUUGCUCGGAAUUAUUGGGCGUAAAGCGCACGUAGGCGGUCCUGUAAGUCGGGUGUGAAAGCCCCAGGCUUAACCUGGGAAGUGCACUCGAAACUACAGGGCUUGAGUAUGGAAGAGGGUCUCGGAAUUCCCGGUGUAGAGGUGAAAUUCGUAGAUAUCGGGAGGAACACCAGUGGCGAAGGCGGAGACCUGGGCCAAUACUGACGCUGAGGUGCGAAAGCGUGGGGAGCAAACAGG